UACGGAAGAAGGGGGGGAUCUUCGGACCUCUCGCUAAUAGAUGAGCCCUAGGCCGGAGUUAGCUAGUUGGUAGGGUAAAGGCCUACCCAAGGCGACGAUCUGUAGCUGGUCCUGAGAGGAUGGCCAGCCACACUGGAACUGAGACACGGUCCAGACUCCUACGGGAGGCAGCAGUGGGGAAUAUUGGACAAUGGGGGCAACCCUGAUCCAGCCAUGCCGCGUGUGUGAAGAAGGCCUUCGGGUUGUAAAGCACUUUAAGCGAGGAGGAAGGUUUUAGUUUAAUACACUAAAGAAUUGACGUUACUCGCAGAAUAAGCACCGGCUAACUCUGUG
rnacentral:rRNA from 1 species